rnacentral:rRNA from 1 species
CCUACGGGAGGCAGCAGUGAGGAAUAUUGGUCAAUGGGCUUACGCCUGAACCAGCCAAGUCGCGUGAGGGAAGACUGCCCUAUGGGUUGUAAACCUCUUUUGUCAGGGAGCAACUCCGGCUACGUGUAGCCGGACUGAGAAUACCUGAAGACAAAGCAUCGGCUAACUCCGUACCAGCAGCCGCGGUAAUACUGAGGAUGCGAGCGUUAUCCGGAUUUUUUGGGUUUAAAGGGUGCGUAGGCGGAAUGCCAAGUCAGCGGUAAAAUCGCGGGUCUCAACCUCGGUCGGCCGUGGAAACUGGCGUUCUUGAGUGGGCGGGAAGUAUGCGGAAUGCGUGGUGUAGCGGUGAAAUGCAUAGAGAUCACGCAGAACUCCGAUUGCGAAGGCAGCAUACCGGCGCCCAACUGACGCUGAAGCACGAAAGCGUGGGUAUCGAACAGGAUUAGAUACCCCGAGUAGUC